rnacentral:rRNA from 1 species
GCGUUGUCCGGAAUUAUUGGGCGUAAAGAGCGUGUAGGCGGUCCGGUAAGUCGGCUGUGAAAGUCCAGGGCUCAACCCUGGGAUGCCGGUCGAUACUGCCGGACUAGAGUUCGGAAGAGGCGAGUGGAAUUCCCGGUGUAGCGGCGAAAUGCGCAGAUAUCGGGAGGAACCCCUAUGGCGAAGGCAGCUCGCUGGGACGUUACUGACGCUGAGACCCGAAAGCGUGGGGAGCAAGCAGG